rnacentral:lncRNA from 1 species
GAGAGCAACUGAGCCAGAAGGCGAUGUAAACCUGGGCUUUGCUGCUUGCAGUAUAUUUGCCAAUAAUCUUCUAGGGGUAGCAAACCUUUCAUUAAUAGUUCAAAGACAUCAAUAACCUUCGUGAGCUUAAGAUUACACAGCAAUUUUCCUAAAACAUUUGUAUCUCAUACUGACAUCCUGCCACUCCUGCUUUGAUAUAUUCCUCUUCCCUUACUCAAUCACUUGGGAAUAUUUUUGUGAACCCAUGCUACGUGCCAAGCACAGCCGCAGGCACAGCAGUCCAUUUCACUCUCUACUCUCUUCUAUUUGCAUUCCUGAACAAACUCACUCGGUGCUUAACCAUCUGAAGGCAUAGGCCAUCACUUGUUUUACCUUUGCAUUUGAAAUUUCCUGUGAUAACAAAGGGGAAAAACCAAGUGAUAGUUUUCCCAACCAGCUCUACAAACCCCCGAUGCGAGUUGGAUCUGAAGAUCAGAGCUGUGAGAUGAGCUGAGUCCCAGCCAUGCUUUUUACCAGUUCUGUGGCAUUGGGUUUUAUUAGGAUAGUGCACGAGGAACCUUGGCGGAGAUUCCAUGGCGGGUGAGGUUGACCGAUAAGGGUGACAAACACACCAGGCAGGCAGAGCUUAGUAAGGGGGAAGGCAAGCGAAAAGAGAUAUAGAGGCACAGAGAGGGCAGAAGAGAAGAGGGAGACAGGAAAAGUCCUGUCUUCCCCAAUGGAACAGCGGGAAAGAGAUUACAAUGGCCUGAGAUGCCGGGACUCUGUACACUUCAACUGCACCAUUUUACCAACUAAGCAUCUCUGGAACUCACUCAUCUGCCUGUUUGCUACAAUCCGGCUUUUUAUAACAGAGAGAUAGGCCAGCUGCUGGUUCCACCCCAUUUCCACCAAGAAGACUGAUGGGCACUGAAGAAGCUUCAUCUUGAGUCAAUGACAACACUAGUCACUGAGCAACCCUGCCCUUCACCUCAACUGCUACAAAGUAUUCCAGACUGUGGACAAGAGGACAGUGGAAUCGACUUUCCCUGUGUUGCUUGGGCCAACGGAUUCUUGUAAGUUCCAGUGAGCGGAAUUGGAUCCAAACAAACAGGUCUAAGAGGCGCCAGGGAGUUCUGCACAGCCUGGACUGCAAUGAAACAACCAGCUACACCAGGACUUGGCAGCACCCUAACCUUCUCAGGUCCCCCAAAGAUGGUCAACGACCCCCACAUCAGCAGGAAGCAGUCUUGAGAAUUCGAUGUCCAUCCUUAUUCCUUAACCUGCUAUGUCUAAUACCCCACCUUUUUAAAUAAUAAGUAGAGGUGGGAAUGAAAGGUUCAGGCUUUAAUGCUGAUCGGCAAUAUCUCUUUAAGAGACAGACCCUGCCCCCUGACAACAGUCAGGGCACGCACAGGGACGUGCCAUCACCAAGUCACCCACUAUGCAUUACAGCCUGUGUGAGGACUCUGGGCAUUCGUGGAACCUCAGUGAGCAUGCUCAGUCUUCCCUUUAAAAGUUCCAACAUCCCUGCUGCUCUCUCUCUCUCUCUCUCUCUCUCUCUCAUCUCUCUCUCUCUCUACUUCACUCUCUCUUCUCCCACCCACGUGCUCUCUCUGCCUCUCUAUGGCAUCUGGCCAUGGUGGUCAGUCAUUACCCCUGUUCCUCUUCUCUCUUAGUCUCCCUACUCUGCCGGGCCCAUAUAACAUACUAGUCAAUAUGUCUCAUCUUGCGUCCUCCUCUUUUUCUUCAAAAACAUAACACUGGGAAUGUAUGCAUGCGCCACCAUGCCCAGAGUUCUUCUAAUAGUUGCUACCUACACUGGUCCUGGUGGGCCCUAGUACCCAACACCUACAGACUCCUAUUUAAGUAUAACUAAGUAACCGUUGGCUAAUGUUUCCUAAAUAAUUUUAUUUAAAAAAAACGGCAUGCUAAAAUAUGAAUCUAAAAAAUUAACUAUAUUUAUCAAAGGAAUGC